AAGGAGUAGAGGGAAGCAGAGAGGAGGAGGGAAAGGAGUCUAACACAGGAAAAGGAAGGUGCAAAGGUUGAAUAGGAGUGAUUCAGACUGUCAUGGAAAGCCACCGGGAAGAGGCCUGGAGACAGGCCUGCCUCAGUAUUCUACUAUGCUGGCAACUGACAGCAACCUGUGACCUGUAAGAAAAGUGACACAGAGGGCUUUGUUAGAAGGAGAUCAGAGUCACUCAAAAUGGCCUGAAUGGUGGACAGAGCAGGACCAGCUGCUGAUAAUCAUUUUCAUCAGCCUUCCUGCCUACAGGAAAACUCAAAGGCACAUCACCUUUACCUCUCGCGAAGCCACAUGAGGGGAGCGGUCCUUAGUGACUGGAGUUCCAGGAGGGCAGCCCUUCUGUCUAUCGUUGCAACAGCUUCACAUGGGGAUCCUCACCAGGUCUGAAGACUGAGACGCGAGUUCAUUAGCUUCCCCCAGACAGAGCCCUGCACCGGUGCUGCAGCAUCAGGGAAUGAAAGGACGACAAUUCCAGAAACCUGCUGAGAACAGCCAUCUUGAAGACCUUGGAGAGCAAGCC